CAACCUCAACUCAUAUGGGACUACCCCCUGAAUUUAAGCAUAUUAAUUAGGGGAGGAAAAGAAACUAACAAGGAUUUUCUUAGUAGCGGCGAGCGAAAAGAAAACAGUUCAGCACUAAGUCACUUUGUCUAUAUGGCAAAUGUGAGAUGCAGUGUAUGGAGCGUCAAUAUUCUAGUAUGAGAAAUUAAUGAUUUAAGUCCUUCUUAAAUGAGGCCAUUUACCCAUAGAGGGUGCCAGGCCCGUAUAACGUUAAUGAUUGCUAGAUGAUGUUUCCAAAGAGUCGUGUUGCUUGAUAGUGCAGCACUAAGUGGGUGGUAAACUCCAUCUAAAACUAAAUAUCCCAUGAGACCGAUAGUAAACAAGUACCGUGAGGAAAGUGAAG
rnacentral:ncRNA from 1 species